AGAGUUUGAUUUUGGCUCAGGAUGAACGUUGGCGGCGUGCCUAACACAUGCAAGUCGAACGAAGACUGUGUGACGGAACUCUCCGGAGGGAAGACGCGCAGGACUGAGUGGCGGACGGGUGAGUAACGCGUGGGUAACCUGCCCUGUACAGGGGGACAACAGCUGGAAACGGCUGCUAAUACCGCAUAAGCCUACAGUACCGCAUGGUACAGCAGGAAAAACUCCGGUGGUACAGGAUGGGCCCGCGUCUGAUUAGUUAGUUGGCAGGGUAACGGCCUACCAAGACAACGAUCAGUAGCCGGCUUGAGAGAGUGAACGGCCACAUUGGGACUGAGACACGGCCCAAACUCCUACGGGAGGCAGCAGUGGGGAAUAUUGCACAAUGGGGGAAACCCUGAUGCAGCAACGCCGCGUGAGUGAAGAAGUAUUUCGGUAUGUAAAGCUCUAUCAGCAGGGAAGAAAAUGACGGUACCUGACUAAGAAGCUCCGGCUAAAUACGUGCCAGCAGCCGCGGUAAUACGUAUGGAGCAAGCGUUAUCCGGAUUUACUGGGUGUAAAGGGAGCGCAGGCGGUACGGCAAGUCCGAUGUGAAAACCCGGGGCUCAACCCCGGGACUGCAUUGGAAACUGCCGCACUAGAGUGCCGGAGAGGUAAGUGGAAUUCCUAGUGUAGCGGUGAAAUGCGUAGAUAUUAGGAGGAACACCAGUGGCGAAGGCGGCUUACUGGACGGUAACUGACGCUGAGGCUCGAAAGCGUGGGGAGCAAACAGGAUUAGAUACCCUGGUAGUCCACGCCGUAAACGAUG
rnacentral:rRNA from 1 species